rnacentral:tRNA from 1 species
GGCAUUAACUCAGCGGAAGAGUGUCUGCUUUGCAAGCAGAAGGUCAUGGGUUCAAAUCCCAUAUGUUCC